GACGAACGCUGGCGGCGUGCUUAACACAUGCAAGUCGAACGCUGAAGCUCAGCUUUUGUUGGGUGGAUGAGUGGCGAACGGGUGAGUAACACGUGAGUAACCUGCCCCCUUCUUUGGGAUAACGCCCGGAAAAGGGUGCUAAUACUGGAUAUUCACUGGUCUUCGCAUGGGGGGUGGUGGAAAGGGGUUUUCUGGUGGGGGAUGGGCUCGCGGCCUAUCCGCUUGUUGGUGGGGUGGUGGCCUACCAAGGCUUUGACGGGUAGCCGGCCUGAGAGGGUGACCGGUCACAUUGGGACUGAGAUACGGCCCAGACUCCUACGGGAGGCAGCAGUGGGGAAUAUUGCACAAUGGGCGCAAGCCUGAUGCAGCGACGCCGCGUGAGGGAUGGAGGCCUUCGGGUUGUGAACCUCUUUCGCUCAUGGUCAAGCCGCAACAAUGGUUGUGGUGAGGGUAGUGGGUAAAGAAGCGCCGGCUAACUACGUG
rnacentral:rRNA from 1 species